AAACUCUUAGCCAUCUUGAGCCCAGAGCCAUGAAUGCUCUCUUCCUCUCUCUUUAUUUCUCUCAAACCUUAACACAAAACUAUUGCUCUCUAGCCGUGCCUCCAUAACUAUAGCUCAUAUUCGAAGUACAACUUGUAACCCCCAAAUUUGAAACAAACUCGCCUCGUUCAAGCACCAGAUCCAUCCCAUCUCAAUACAGCCAUCACUAUAAUCUUUGUCCUCAAUGCAAGGACUCUCGGAUCAAAAGUAGGAAACAACCCAAACCGCAUAUCUUAAGGUAGAAUGGAAGCAAGCGUGGAUUUCCAACUAGACAACUAAAGAAUCCAAGGAAGGCAAGUCAGACGUGGGGAAAAGUGGGAGUGUGCUGGCUGAGACCAUGUUCUAUGUUCCAGCUGAGAACCGAGAAAAGAAAGCUGCUUUGCAGCUGGAAAGAAAAAAAUAUAAAAAAGAAAGGAAGUAGCGGGAGAAGGGAGUAG
rnacentral:sRNA from 1 species